rnacentral:rRNA from 1 species
UAUCCUACGGGAGGCAGCAGUGGGGGAUAUUGCACAAUGGAGGAAACUCUGAUGCAGCGACGCCGCGUGAGGGAAGACGGUCUUCGGAUUGUAAACCUCUGUCUUUGGGGAAGAAAAUGACGGUACCCAAAGAGGAAGCCCCGGCUAACUACGUGCCAGCAGCCGCGGUAAUACGUAGGGGGCAAGCGUUAUCCGGAUUUACUGGGUGUAAAGGGGGCGCAGACGGCAAUGCAAGCCAGGAGUGAAAGCCCGGGGCCCAACCCCGGGACUGCUCUUGUAACUGCAUGGCUGGAGUACAGGAGGGG